rnacentral:lncRNA from 1 species
CCUCAGACAACAGAUGGGUGAUCCAAAUUGGGUCUAAUAAAGCAAGGAUAAGUAUUUUUUCUGAGGCUAGAAGUUUGGUCAGACUUAACAGAAUGUUUAUUGUGCUCUUGCAAUUUUUGCUUUUAGGCUGAAAGCAGAGAAAUCUGCUGAAAUAUGGCGUAGUUUCCAGCUGAAACCAGAACAGUAUUGUGAUUCACAUGAGAGAAGCAAAUCCUUUGUGAUUUCUAGGCAGAGCAGGUUCAGAAAAGCAUCUGAACUCCUUCAGGAUUUUCUGAUCAUCCAAGCCUGAGGCUUUGCUUUUCUAAUUCCUCCAUCCUCUGUGUGAGUUUUAUUGUGAGAGUCGCCGAGCGCUCCCUUUGUCCAGCUCUGCUCUCAGGUGACAGAAAGGAGUGAGUGUCAACCAUCACCAGAGCUGGACCAGCACAGAAACGUGGAUCUGCUGUGGUGGCUUUCAGCAUCCUCAAAGGCAUCUAAUUGUUCAGGACACAGUGAGUAUCUGCACUUACAGAAAUCAAGGCUGGAGUGGAGCUCCCCUGAAAGCCAGGCUCUGAGAAGCCAAGAUUCAUUUUCAGAAAAUGUCACCUGGAGCAAGCUGAAUGUCUCCUGAGCGACUUAAAUCCAUCACCAGCUCUGGAAACAGACUCUGAGCAAGUACCAGUCAACACUUUAAUUGAAAAUAAACGCUGUAAAUCCAGGGAAACCUCUCUGUUC